GUGAUUCAAUCGGGUCAAUUCCCUAAACUUAAUACAGUUACAUUAACCGUUACUAUAGUGUUAAGGAGUACAAUAAUAAUUUUUAUGCGGAAUAUUUUGAAAAUUUUCUGACAUAGUUUUAGUUCAUUUCUAAUGAAAACAGCAGCAUAAUACCUCUAGAGACACAAGACGAACCGACUGCGCUAUUGAGAUAGAAAAUAAAUUUCUAUUCGCGAAAACAAACAAACAAACAAAAAAAAAACACAAAAUGAAAAUUAAAGGAAAAUACAAAUUUUUCAACAUACAUAAUAUGUUUAGACAUUUAAGAUAAAUUUUCGUUCUAUUAAAAUAAAAAAUAUAUAUACAUGAAUGCAUAUACAUAUAUAUGUAUUUAUAAACAUUAAUAUAAAAUAAAAGUGCUACCACAUUUAUUUCUAAUAAUAUAUGUUUAUAUAUAUUGUAUUUAAAAAUAAAUAAUGCAAAUAUAAUGCAAUCGAAUAUUAUCCACCAAAAACUAUUAGACUGUAAAUUAUUGAAAUUUUAAAAAUAUAAAAUUUUAUCCACCUG